rnacentral:lncRNA from 10 species
CAGACCUAGCCUGUAGACAGGAGGAUUGGAGAAAAAGUGGGGAAGGGAGGAGGAGGCGGCACUGUUCCAAGCCCUGGGCUGCUGGAAGACUCAAAGUGAACCAGGUGAAGGAGGUGUCUGGUUGGCUUGUGGGAAAAUAAAACAUUAAGCAGGAUCUGGACUGAGAGUUACAGAAAAGAGGACCUAUGAAAAUGCAACACCAUGGCAGCCAGCAGAGUGGAGUUCAGAUGGGCUCCAGGAGGCGGGGCCAGGCAGUAUGAAGAGGACUGCACCGUCCUGGAUCUGUUACUUAGCACUUCUAUGAAUCUUUUCCAGCUGGGACAUAGUUUUUCUUCUGUCUUUCCACAUGGAUUCGAACUAACACCAUCAGCUCGCCUGCUUCUCAGACCUUCAGACUCAGAUGGAACUACACUAUAGGUUCUCCUGGGUCUGGACUUCUCAGCCUCCAUAAUCAUAGGUUUUCCUCAAAUGUGUGAUGACCUUAGCUGACCAUUUUUUUUUUAAAGAACUUCUAACAUUUUUCAUUAAGGAACGGACUGUUGUGCAGACUCAGGCAGCUCACUCGGGGCUGGGCAGCAGACAGUGAUUAUCGUCACCCCCUGCUUUCAUCCAUUACGGCGGGUGUUAGCAGAUGUGGGAUUUGAGACCCAAAGAAGUGAAGUAACCUGCCCAAGUUUACACAGCUUGGAGUAGAACCCGAGUUUCUAUGGACUCCAGAGCUCAUGAGUUCACCACUUUUCUGUGCCUCCUAACUCUAUGCCGCUGAGGACUCAGAAGAAGCCAGUGCUAAUGCUUUCUCCAGUUUCUCUCCUCUUGUGUGAACUGUGUGAACUGCCACUUUAAGACUCUCUUGGAGAAUCAUAAUCCAAGUUGCGAAGUCCAACAAUUCCUCUGGAGAAAUGGUUCUCAACUGGGGGCAAAUUUGGGCCCCAGGAGACAUAUGGCAAUGUCUGACAAUGUUUUUUUGAUUGUUACAAACAGGUUGGGGAGAGAGUCCUGCUAGCAUCUAGUUGGUAGAGGCCAGGGAUAAUGCUGAACAGCCUGCAGGACACCCCGAACCCCAUCAAAGACCCAAAACGUCAAUGGUACUGAGGUUGAAAAACCCUGGUCUGGAGUUUUAAUCAGUUGGCCAUUUUUCCCAUCCCAUGUUGAAAUAUUUGUAUUUAAAACAUUACAUCUGGUUUAUUUUUUCAAGAUAAUGUCCAGUGUACAGUGGAAAAUGAUGUGUUUUCCUAUCACUUUGCUCAAGAAUAAAGCUGUAAUAUUUGCAAAAUAGAUAACCUUAGUUGUCACUCAAAAUGUAAACUGUCAUAAGGGAUAAGAGAUUAACUGAUUUCACUGUCAACCUUUACAGUGUCAUUAUUUUUCCCUGUAACUGUCUGCUUGAUAUCCUUGCUGACGAAGAUGUUUUAAAAUGGAAGACAAUUAGAGGCUUUAUGUUUAUGAAAAAUGAAGUGUUCACACACAAAAGAAUGCACAGUGGACCUUUUAUGGGAUGUUUAAAAUAUCCUUUCAUUAAAAGAUUUUCUUAAGUGGCUGUUUGUCACUUAAUAGGAAUCCCCGUUGUUGCUACUGUUGUUUUCAUGCAUAAAUACCAGCAUCUGUAGGUUUCCGGGGUGUUCUUUAGAAUUU